rnacentral:rRNA from 1 species
CUUGGUCAUUUAGAGGAAGUAAAAGUCGUAACAAGGUUUCCGUAGGUGAACCUGCGGAAGGAUCAUUACUUGAGAUUUUGUGGGCUCUGCCCGCGCUUCUCUUACCCAUGUCUUUGUGCGUACCGCAUGUUUCCUCGGUGGGCUUGCCUGCCGUUUGGACAUUUAUAAACUCUUUUUGUAGUUGAAGUCAGCGUCUGAAUAACUUAAUAGUUACAACUUUCAACAACGGAUCUCUUGGUUCUGGCAUCGAUGAAGAACGCAGCGAAAUGCGAUAAGUAGUGUGAAUUGCAGAAUUCAGUGAAUCAUCGAAUCUUUGAACGCACAUUGCGCCCCUUGGUAUUCCAUGGGGCAUGCCUGUUCGAGCGUCAUUUCAACCCUCAAGCUCUGCUUGGUAUUGGGCAUCGCAGGAGCCUGUCUCCGGCGUGCCUCAAAGCCAUCGGCGGUGGUGCCUUUCUCUAAGCGUGGUAGAAUUUUUAUUCGCUUCUGAGUUGGGUCUCACUCGCCGGAUAAACCGGGCCUCGCGCCCACUUUCUCAGGUUGACCUCGGAUCAGGUAGGGAUACCCGCUGAACUUAAGCAUAUCAAUAAGCGGAGGA